AUUGAACGCUGGCGGCAUGCCUUACACAUGCAAGUCGAACGGCAGCACGGGAGCAAUCCUGGUGGCGAGUGGCGAACGGGUGAGUAAUGUAUCGGAACGUACCUUUCAGUGGGGGAUAACGUAGCGAAAGUUACGCUAAUACCGCAUAUUCUGUGAGCAGGAAAGCAGGGGAUCGCAAGACCUUGCGCUGAUUGAGCGGCCGAUAUCAGAUUAGCUAGUUGGUGAGGUAAAGGGCUCACCAAGGCGACGAGUCUGUAGCGGGUCUGAGAGGAUGAUCCGCCACACUGGAACUGAGACACGGUCCAGACUCCUACGGGAGGCAGCAGUGGGGAAUUUUGGGACAAUGGGCGCAAGCCUGAUCCAGCCAUGCCGCGUGAGUG
rnacentral:rRNA from 1 species